UACGUAGGGUGCAGGCGUUAAUCGGAAUUACUGGGCGGAAAGCGUGCGCAGGCGGUCUGCUAAGAGAGAUGUGAAAUCCCCGGGCUUAACCUGGGAACUGCGUUUCUAACUGGCAGGCUAGAGUGUGGCAGAGGGGGGUGGAAUUCCACGUGUAGCAGUGAAAUGCGUAGAGAUGUGGAGGAACACCGAUGGCGAAGGCAGCCCCCUGGGCUAACACUGACGCUCAUGCACGAAAGCGUGGGGAGCAAACAGG
rnacentral:rRNA from 1 species